UGGGGAAUUUUGCACAAUGGGGGAAACCCUGAUGCAGCGACGCCGCGUGAUUUAGAAGGCCUUCGGGUUGUAAAAAUCUUUUCUAUGGGAAGAAAAUGACAGUACCAUAGGAAUAAGGACCGGCUAAUUACGUGCCAGCAGCCGCGGUAAUACGUAAGGUCCGAGCGUUGUCCGGAAUCAUUGGGCGUAAAGGGUACGUAGGCGGGUAAGCAAGUUAGAAGUGAAAUCCUAUAGCUCAACUAUAGUAAGCUUUUAAAACUGCUCAUCUUGAGGUAUGGAAGGGAGAGUGGAAUUCCUAGUGUAGCGGUGAAAUGCGCAGAUAUUAGGAGGAAUACCGGUGGCGAAGGCGACUUUCUGGCCAUAACCUGACGCUGAGGUACGAAAGAGUGGGUAGCAAACAGG
rnacentral:rRNA from 1 species